GCAGUAGCCGCGGGAAUACGUAGGGUGCAAGCGUUAAUCGGAAUUACUGGGCGUAAAGCGUGCGCAGGCGGUUAUAUAAGACAGAUGUGAAAUCCCCGGGCUCAACCUGGGAACUGCAUUUGUGACUGUAUAGCUAGAGUACGGCAGAGGGGGAUGGAAUUCCGCGUGUAGCAGUGAAAUGCGUAGAUAUGCGGAGGAACACCGAUGGCGAAGGCAAUCCCCUGGGCCUGUACUGACGCUCAUGCACGAAAGCGUGGGGAGCAAACAGGAUUAGAUACCCCGGUAGUCCCUGUCUCUUAUAC
rnacentral:rRNA from 1 species